GGCAUAUCGUCUUUGCCUGCAUAAAAAACUGCUCAGCAAGCUUAUAACUGUGAGUUCGCAUGUACUCCAUCCCAAUGUACAAAGUUGGUAAAUGGCACCCUGGAAAUAAACGAGCUGCAGUGCGAUAUGCUGACAUUGCUUGAUCACCCUCUUCUUGAGCAGCAUAAGCAUUGCCAUAGCCUAUCCAAGCAGAUGCAAAGGUUCCAUCUAGACUCGUAGCCUUGCUGAAAUAGCGCCGUGAUUGGUCAUACUUCUUAAUACAAUAGUAAUAGCAACCAACAGCAAACCAUGAAAGAGCCUUUUGAGGAUAAUCCUUCACCAAAUUACAUGCCAUAAGAUAUAGCUCAUUUGAAUUUCCAAGCUCCAUAGCAGCAGCCAAAUGCACCAAUGUACAUUUCAAAUGGAAAGGGUCCUUCUCAAGU
rnacentral:misc_RNA from 1 species